rnacentral:rRNA from 1 species
GAUGAACGCUGGCGGCGUGCCUAAUACAUGCAAGUCGAGCGAACAGAUAAGGAGCUUGCUCCUUUGACGUUAGCGGCGGACGGGUGAGUAACACGUGGGUAACCUACCUAUAAGACUGGAAUAACUCCGGGAAACCGGGGCUAAUGCCGGAUAACAUGUUGAACCGCAUGGUUCUACAGUGAAAGGCGGCUUUGCUGUCACUUAUAGAUGGACCCGCGCCGUAUUAGCUAGUUGGUGAGGUAACGGCUCACCAAGGCGACGAUACGUAGCCGACCUGAGAGGGUGAUCGGCCACACGGGAGCUGAGACGCGGUCCAGACUCCUACGGGAGGCAGCAGUAGGGAAUCUUCCGCAAUAGGCGGAAACCUGGCGGAGCGACGCCACGUGAGUGAUGAAGGUCUUCGGAUCGUAAAACUCUGUUAUUAGGGAAAAACAAAUGCGUAAGGAACUGUGCGCGUCUUGACGGUACCUAAUCAGAAAGCCACGGCUAACUACGUG